rnacentral:rRNA from 1 species
CAAGUCGAGCGGCAGCGGGAAGUAGCUUGCUACUUUGCCGGCGAGCGGCGGACGGGUGAGUAAUGUCUGGGAAACUGCCUGAUGGAGGGGGAUAACUACUGGAAACGGUAGCUAAUACCGCAUGACGUCUUCGGACCAAAGUGGGGGACCUUCGGGCCUCACGCCAUCGGAUGUGCCCAGAUGGGAUUAGCUAGUAGGUGGGGUAACGGCUCACCUAGGCGACGAUCCCUAGCUGGUCUGAGAGGAUGACCAGCCACACUGGAACUGAGACACGGUCCAGACUCCUACGGGAGGCAGCAGUGGGGAAUAUUGCACAAUGGGCGCAAGCCUGAUGCAGCCAUGCCGCGUGUGUGAAGAAGGCCUUCGGGUUGUAAAGCACUUUCAGCGAGGAGGAAGGCAUAAAGGUUAAU